rnacentral:ncRNA from 2 species
ACAUGAGGUAGAGGUGCAUAUUUCAAUAGUACACAGACAAAUGCUAUAAGGAGCAAAAGAAGUUUGUGAAAAGGGAAAUUUGCCGAAGAAAGAGCUAGCCUUAUAUUUCUCUUUCUGGUUGUGCAGUUAAUAGCUGUACGACUGUCAUCUUUUUAAAGAUGGAGCGCUACAAAUUAU